rnacentral:lncRNA from 1 species
AUGAAUGAAAAAAUCAACACAAACAUUAACACAAACAUUAACCGAGUUGAAAAAAAAGAUAAAAUUGAGGUCAAACAAAGAGAUAUGAUUUAUAGUGAUAGUUGUGCAAAUAGUAAUACCCAUGCUAGUAAUCAACAAAACAAAACCACUUCUAAUUUUGAAAAAAAUGAUGAUACAAUAAAAAAAAAUAUUGAUGAUUAUAAAACAGAUAAUAAUAAUAAAUAUAAUAAUAAUAAUAAUAAUAAUAAAUAUAAUAAUAAUAAUAAUAAUAAAUAUAAUAAUAAUAAUAAUAAAUAUAAUAAUAAUAAUAAUAAUAAUAAUAAAUAUAUAAAAGUAAAAGAACGUUCCAAUAUAAAUGAAAUAAUAACACAUGAACCCAAUUUGGACAAAACGGUUAAAACAGUAAAAGAAAUAAUUUUUAAUAAGGAUUGCGCACCAAACGGUAAUAAUGAACUGAGUAGUAUAUUAAAAGAAGCAAAUUAUAAUAUUAAUAAUAAAAUAAAAACAAAAACAAAAACAGAUAUAAUAUAUACAAAUGAAAAUGUAAAUAAUGAUACUCCCUAUAAACGUGUUUUAACAAAUAAAGUAAUGUCUUCGUCUAAUAAUCAUUCAAACGAGUCAUUCGUCCAUUCAAACGGGUCAUUCGUCCAUUCAAACGGGUCAUUCGUCCAUUCAAACAUGUCAGUUCCCCAAUCAAAUGAUCCAUUCGGUCAAUCAUACAUGUCAUUCCUCCAAUCAAACAUGUCAUUCAUUCAAUCAAAUAAGCCAGUCCUCCAAUCAAAUAAGCCAGUCCACCAAUCAAAAAAUGAGCGUAGCAAACAUAACCAACAGAGCGAAAGAAUUUAUAAACACACGAAUAAUGCAUAUCCUAUUAAUUCCAACUCACUUAACAGUUUUAUUUUUUGUUCUUUAUCUAAUCAUAGCUCAUCUAAUAUUCUUAAAAAAAUAUACACAUCGAAACAAAGAAAUACUCAUAGUACUAUAAAUUUAAGUAACUUAAUUUACAAAAGUAAAAAUGAUUAUAAUACUGUCACCAGUGCUAACGGUACACCUACUAUUUUUUCUACUACCAACAAAAGUAAAAAUAUAAACGCACAAAAAACAAACGAAACCAUUUUAAAAAAUUAUCUCACAUUAAAUAAGACGUCUACUCCGUAUGUUUCCAAAACGAAAUUAGCUAACAAUUGGAGCUACAAAAAUAAUAAGAAAGUAACAAACAAAAGUGUGACACAAGAACCUGAUGUUACAUUAUUUCAAUCAAAAUUAAAAUGGAUUAAUAUUUUUAACAGAAACUCGAGCAAAUAUUAA